CUCUUCAGACAACACCCACCAACCUCAACCUUGUGCUAUUUGCUGAAUCCCCUCUUGUCAAUUCCCUCCAUUCAUUAGAGGGAGCAAAAAUGUGGCUAAACCUCCUGUCCUUACUAGUACUCCUCAAUGGAGUCCAAUCUCAAGUGCAGUUGGUGGAGUCUGGAGGGGAUGUGAGAAGACCUGGAGAGUCCCUCCGUCUCUCCUGCCAAGCCUCUGGAUUCACCUUCAGCAGCUCUUACAUGAGCUGGGUGAGACAGGCUCCAGGGAAAGGACUGGAAUGGAUUGCAGGUAUUAGGUACGAUGGCAGUAAGCAAUUCUAUGGAGAGUCUGUCAAAGGACGCUUCACCAUCUCCAGGGACAAUGCCAAAAGCCAGCUGUAUCUGCAAAUGAACAGCCUCAAAGCUGAAGACACGGCAAUUUAUUACUGUGCAAGAGACACAGUGAGAGGAAGUGAAUCUGAAGCCAAACAAAAACCUUCCUUUCUUCAGAGCACUUCUUCAACUUGUCUAAACCGCCAAUCCUGGGUUAUUAAUGAGGGUUGA